UACAUAGGGGGCGAGCGUUAUCCGGAAUUACUGGGCGUAAAGGGUGCGUAGGCGGUUUCUUAAGUCUAGUGUGAAAGCCCACGGCUUAACCGUGGAGGGUCAUUAGAAACUGGGAGACUUGAGUACAGCAGAGGUAAGUGGAAUUUCUAGUGGAGCGGUGAAAUGCGUAGAUAUUAGAAGGAACACCAGUGGCGAAGGCGGCUUACUGGGCUGGAACUGACGCUGAGGCACGAAAGCGUGGGGAGCAAACAGG
rnacentral:rRNA from 1 species